rnacentral:tRNA from 1 species
GGCGCAAUGGGUAGCGGCUGCGUCAUCCUGGGCUUGGCAAGCAGGGGGUGAGGGGUUCGAGUCCCCUGGGCUCCA